UGCCGGGUCAUCCAAGGGCAGGAUGCGUGAUUCUGGAUCACGUCAUGCGGGUUCGAAUCCUGCCCCGGCAG
rnacentral:tRNA from 1 species